rnacentral:rRNA from 1 species
AUUGAACGCUGGCGGCAUGCCUUACACAUGCAAGUCGAACGGUAACAUGUCUUCGGAUGCUGACGAGUGGCGAACGGGGGCGUAAUACAUCGGAACGUGCACGAUCGUGGGGGGUAACGGAGCGCAAGCUUUGCUAAUACCGCAUACGAUCUACGGAUGAAAGCAGGGGAGCGCAAGGGCUUGCGCUGGCGGAGCGGCCGAUGGCAGAUUAGGUAGUUGGUGGGAUAAAAGCUUACCAAGCCGACGAUCUGUAGCUGGACUGAGAGGACGACCAGCCACACUGGGACUGAGACACGGCCCAGACUCCUACGGGAGGCAGCAGUGGGGAAUUUUGGACAAUGGGCGAAAGCCUGAUCCAGCCAUGCCGCGUGCAGGAUGAAGGCCUUCGGGUUGUAAACUGCUUUUGUACGGAACGAAAAGACGCUUUCCAAUAAAGAGGGUCCAUGACGGUACCGUAAGAAUAAGCACCGGCUAACUACGUG